GUGGCUGUGGCUCAGUGAUAGAGCGCUCGCCUAGCAUGUGUGAAGCACUGGGUUCGAUCCUCAGUACCACA
rnacentral:tRNA from 1 species